AUUGAACGCUGGCGGAAUGCUUUACACAUGCAAGUCGAACGGCAGCACGGGGCAACCUGGUGGCGAGUGGCGAACGGGUGAGUAAUACAUCGGAACGUGCCCAAUCGUGGGGGAUAACGUAGCGAAAGUUACGCUAAUACCGCAUACGAUCUACGGAUGAAAGCGGGGGAUCGCAAGACCUCGCGCGAAUGGAGCGGCCGAUGUCAGAUUAGGUAGUUGGUGGGGUAAAGGCUAACCAAGCCAACGAUCUGUAGCUGGUCUGAGAGGACGACCAGCCACACUGGGACUGAGACACGGCGCAGACUCCUACGGGAGGCGGCAGUGGGGAAUUUUGGACAAUGGGCGCAAGCCUGAUCCAGCCAUUCCGCGUGCAGGAUGAAGGCCUUCGGGUUGUAAACUGCUUUUGUACGGAACGAAACGGUUCUCUCUAAUACAGGGGGCUAAUGACGGUACCGUAAGAAUAAGCACCGGCUAACUACGUGCCAGCCGCCGCGGUAAAAC
rnacentral:rRNA from 1 species